UGCAACGGUCAUACCAUCCAGAACACACCGGAUCCCAUCAGAACUCCGAAGUUAAGCUGAGUUGGGCUGGACUAGUACUGUGUAGAGGGAUCACACGGGAAUCCCCAGUGCCGUUGUGU
rfam:Chlorella variabilis unplaced genomic scaffold CHLNCscaffold_8, whole genome shotgun sequence.